UGUUAGGUUCCUCCUCGGUAGGUUGUUAGGUUCAUCCUCGGUAGGUUGUUAGGUUCAUCCUCGGUAGGUUGUUAGGUUCAUCCCCGGUAGGUUGUUAGGUUCAUCCUCAGUAGUUUGUGGGUAGGUUGUUAUGUUCAUCCUCGGUAGGUUGUUAGGUUCCUCCUCAGUAGGUUGUUAGGUUCAUCCUCAGUAGUUUGUGGGUAGGUUGUUAGGUUCAUCCUCGGUAGUUUUUGGGUAGGUUGUUAGGUUCAUCCUCAGUAGUUUGUGGGUAGGUUGUUAGGUUCCUCCUCAGUACUUUGUGGGUAGGUUGUUAGGUUCAUCCUCAGUAGUUUGUGGGUAGGUUCAUCCUCAGUAAUUUGUGGGUAGGUUCCUCCUCAGUAGUUUGUGGGUAGGUUGUUAGGUUCCUCCUCAGUAGUUUGUGGGUAGGUUGUUAGGUUCCUCCUCAGUAGUUUGUGGGUAGGUUGUUGGGUUCCUCCUCAGUAGUUUGUGGGUCGGUUGUUUGGUUCCUCCUCGGUAGUUUGUAGGUAGGUUGUUAGGUUCAUCCUCGGUAGUUUGUGGGUAGGUUGUUAGGUUCCUCCUCAGUAGUUUGUGGGUAGGUUGUUAGGUUCAUCCUCAGUAGUUUGUGGGUAGGUUGUUAGGUUCAUCCUCAGUAGUUUGUGACUAGGUUGUUAGGUUCCUCCUCGAUAGUUUGUGGGUAGGUUGUUGGGUUCAUCCUCGGUAGUUUGUGGGUAGGUUGUUGGGUUCAUCCUCGGUAGUUUGUGGGUAGGUUGUUAGGUUCAUCCUCGGUAGUUUGUGGGUAGGUUGUUAGGUUCAUCCUCAGUAUUUUGUGGGUAGGUUGUUAGGUUCAUCGUCAGUAGUUUGUGGGUAGGUUGUUAGGUUCAUCCUCAGUAGUUUGUGGGUAGGUUGUUAGGUUCCUCCUCAGUAGUUUGUGGGUAGGUUGUUAGGUUCAUCCUCAGUAGUUUGUGGGUAGGUUGUUAGGUUCAUCCUCAGUAGUUUGUGGGUAGGUUGUUAGGUUCCUCCUCAGUAGUUUGUGGGUAGGUUGUUAGGUUCAU